rnacentral:tRNA from 3 species
UGGGGCGUCGCCAAGCGGUAAGGCACCGGUUUUUGGUACCGGCAUUCGGAGGUUCGAAUCCUCCCGCCCCAG